rnacentral:rRNA from 2 species
AAAUUGAAGAGUUUGAUCAUGGCUCAGAUUGAACGCUGGCGGCAGGCCUAACACAUGCAAGUCGAGCGGCAGCGGAAAGUAGCUUGC